rnacentral:lncRNA from 1 species
AUGCCUUGGGGUCACGGAGUUAACUGCAGACUCAGACUAAGUGGGGCUCCAGCAGCGGUCAGCCCCAGAAACAAGUUCCGGAGCCAACACCCGAACAGGAAGGGGCCUUGCCCCAGGCCGGAGAGGCCCCUCGCCCACGGCCGAGGGGGUGGGGCGGCCUCGCCUCGGGCCGGUGCUUUUCGCCCUUCCUUGGCCGCCAGAGGCUCCCUCUCUCUCCCUCUCCCGGGAUUUUGCUGCCGGGCUCCCUCUCUCUGCGGCCCUAGAGUUAAUCCCAUCAGCCGAGAUGAACCUCUAGUCUUGCUUUGAAAAAAACAUUCUCUGUAACUCUUGACUGUGACUAAGUUCCUAAUACACCUGUUGGCACGAUUGCUAACACAGUAUACCAUUUGAGAGGUACUUUUCUUGACCCAAUACUGGUGAUUAGAGAAGACAGGUAUCUUGGUUUUUUGUUUUUUCUUUGAUCAUUAUGAACAUUGGC